GGCUAGUUAGUUCAGUUGGUUAGAGAGUGGUGCUGAUAACACCAAGGUCCAGGGUUCGAUCCCUGUCUGGCCA